rnacentral:sRNA from 1 species
CAAAUGACAAUUUCAGCUCUAAAUCUUCUGUAGGAAUUUGUCUUGUGCUUUUGUAAAUGUCAGUGUUACUCUUAGAGAUUGUCUCAGAAGCUUCAUAUGGAGUCUUGUGGGGUUUUUUUUUUCCUUGACUUUUCCCAACCCUAUUACUCUUCUUCAGUGUCUUCAUUUUGGGAGAAGGUUUUUCCAAAGUUACCAUAAUGAGGAAGUCCAUCUCAACAACAACACUGUUAUGACCCUAUCUUCAGCAAUGGGAAAUAGAAAAUUAGAGGGAAAGUCCACAAGGACAAAACAAAAGAGGGUGAACAGACAGUAGAUCUCUCAGUACUCUGUUUUGGGUCCCAUGUGAUGAAUGGCAUUAGACAUACUUGAGGCCAAUCUGCCACUGUCGCCAUUUCUGGACUAGUUCAUUGCCUCACAAGUUCUUUUCCUAGGAAUUUAUAACAGUUCUCAAAACCGUAAAGUUGUUCGUAAUAUUUCACUGUAUUUAUAUGUAGCCCUGUAGAGUUGAUCUCUGCAUCAUUAGUACUCUCCCAGAGUUUAAGAAAUGGUGGCUUAACAUAAGUCAUGAAAGUCACGUUGUAAAAAUUUGUAUUCCUUAAUAUUGUUACUAUACCUAAAACGUAUAUUAAUCUUUUUCUCCCCCUUUUUCAUGAAAAGAACCACCAAUCUUUCCAGCAAGCUGAUGGAAUUUAAUUUAGGUACUGAUAAACAGACUUUCUUGUCUAAGCUUAUCAAAUCCAUUUUCAUUUCCUAUUUGGAGAACUAUAUUGAGGUGGAGACUGGAUAUUUGAAAAGCAGAAGUGCUAUGAUCCUACAGCGCUAUUAUGAUUCGAAAAACCAUCAAAAGAGAUCCAUUGGCACAGGAGGUAUUCAAGAUUUGAAGGAAAGAAUUAGACAGCGUACCAACUUACCACUUGGGCCAAGUAUCGAUACUCAUGGGGAGACUUUUCUAUCCCAAGAAGUGGUGGUUAAUCUUUUACAAGAAACCAAACAAGCCUUUGAAAGAUGUCAUAGGCUCUCUGAUCCUUCUGACUUACCAAGGAAUGCCUUCAGAAUUUUUACCAUUCUUGUGGAAUUUUUAUGUAUUGAGCAUAUUGAUUAUGCUUUGGAAACAGGACUUGCUGGAAUUCCCUCUUCAGAUUCUAGGAAUGCAAAUCUUUAUUUUUUGGACGUUGUGCAACAGGCCAAUACUAUUUUUCAUCUUUUUGACAAACAGUUUAAUGAUCACCUUAUGCCACUAAUAAGCUCUUCUCCUAAGUUAUCUGAAUGCCUUCAGAAGAAAAAAGAAAUAAUUGAACAAAUGGAGAUGAAAUUGGAUACUGGCAUUGAUAGGACAUUAAAUUGUAUGAUUGGACAGAUGAAGCAUAUUUUGGCUGCAGAACAGAAGAAAACAGAUUUUAAGCCAGAAGAUGAAAACAAUGUUUUGAUUCAAUAUACUAAUGCCUGCGUAAAAGUCUGUGCUUACGUAAGAAAACAAGUGGAGAAGAUUAAAAAUUCCAUGGAUGGGAAGAAUGUGGACACAGUUUUGAUGGAACUUGGAGUACGUUUUCAUCGACUUAUCUAUGAGCAUCUUCAACAAUAUUCCUACAGUUGUAUGGGUGGCAUGUUGGCAAUUUGUGAUGUAGCCGAAUAUAGGAAGUGUGCCAAAGACUUCAAGAUUCCAAUGGUAUUACAUCUUUUUGAUACUCUGCAUGCUCUUUGCAAUCUUCUGGUAGUUGCCCCAGAUAAUUUAAAGCAAGUCUGCUCAGGAGAACAACUUGCUAAUCUGGACAAGAAUAUACUUCACUCCUUCGUACAACUUCGUGCUGAUUAUAGAUCUGCCCGCCUUGCUCGACACUUCAGCUGAGAUUGAAUUUACAAAGGAAUUCAGUGUCAGUUCCUUUACAGAGGAAUGUCUUAUACUUCAGCAGCCCUCGGUUGAUAGAAAGCACAGGAGAUACCUUAUGACACAGCCAACAUUUUGUGAAACAAUGACUGGAACAAAACAGCAGCCAUACUUACCUUUGAGGUUUUAUUUAAAGUUUGGAUACCACUAGCUAUAUUUUGCUUUUUUCCCCUCACAUUGAAUUUUAAUUCCAUUCUUGAAUGUAGAAAUUUCAGAUUCUCUAAAACUACAUGUCACUGUUUUUAUCCUAGAAAAUGUUGCUGUCAGAAGGCAAAGGAAAUGUUACCAGUGUUUUCGGUUCUUGUACUUUUAACAUAUUCCAUUUAGAAAUUUUGCCAUUCUGUUUUCCAUUAAUAAUAGGUGAAAUACAGGAAAACUACAUUUGUUAUUCCUCAGUUUUUAAUGACCUUUUCAGCAUCAAUUGUUAAUCAGAUUAUUUUAGGUUUUCGUAAAUAAUUUUUUUGCCUCUUUCAAAAGGUUAACAAUUAAGCAUACUUUCUGCAGUUGGUUGAUUGGAUUUUUUUCUGAGGUACAGCAUUAAUACUAGUCCAAAAAAUGUCAUAAACUGAACUAAAAUGAUGAAAUAUUUUAUGUAGACAUUAGGAGUGGAUCGGAAUACUUCUGCUUUCUGGGUAAAACUUAAAAGUUUACUAUUUCUUAUUUGGUAAAUAGAUUUUAAGCCAAUUCUAGUAAGAAAUUAAUAAAACUACCUUAUUUUGUAUUUCACUUAAGGUGGAGGACCUUAACUAAAGGACCAUAUUUAUUCAUUAUUUUAAUAUAAGGGAAGUGAAAAAAAGUGAGGUAUAGUCUAAAUGGUGCAUAUAAGAAAUACUGACAGUGUUUAGCAACAUGCAGCCCUUUAAGAUUUCUGUCGUAAUGCUAAACUUGAAUAAGAUGGAAUGGCUGAACAUGUGGUUAGUCUUUUAUUUUAAGAAGAAUUGAGAAUUGAUAGAUUUGGAGAUGAGCUUUGCAAAGGCUGUUUGCUUUUCAUGUCUAUAGGUCUGUCAUUGUCCUUUUUCAAAGCAUUUCUGAAGUUAUUCCUACUUGGAUAUAGUUAAUGGAAUUGGCUUAAUUUGAUGACAUAAUAAAUCACUUAUAAAAUUUUAAAUAUCAAGUGAAAAUUUAGAAAGGCUAUUACUAUUCUAUAAACCUUAUAAACUUGCUCUGGGAGAAUGCAUUCUAAAUUAUAUAUAGUGUUUCAGCUCCCAUUGUGGUGUUCAUAGUCUUCUAGGAACAGAUAAACUUAAGUAUUCAAUUCACUCUUGGCAUUUUUUCUUUAAUAUAGGCUUUUUAGCCUAUUUUUGGAAAACUGCUUUUCUUCUGAGAACCUUAUUCUGAAUGUCAUCAACUUUACCAAACCUUCUAAGUCCAGAGCUAACUUAGUACUGUUUAAGUUACUAUUGACUGAAUUUUCUUCAUUUUCUGUUUAGUCCAGUGUUACCAAGGUAAGCUAGGGAAUGAAGUAUACCAACUUCUUUCAGAGCAUUUUAGGACAUUAUGGCAGCUUUAGAAGGCUGUCUUGUUUCUAGCCAAGGGAGAGCCAGCUCAGGUUUUGGAUACUAGAGAAAGUCAUAUGCUUGUACUAUUGCCAUUUUAGAAAGCUCUGAUGUGAAUUCAAAUUUUACCUCUGUUACUUAAAGCCAACAAUUUUAAGGCAGUAGUUUUACUGGCCAUUUAAGCUCUUUGUACAGUGUCAAUUUGUAAAAAAGAAAAAACGAAAAAAAAUCUCAAAUAAAACAUGAGAUAACAUUUUAAGACUUCCAAAUCAGAGAA